rnacentral:rRNA from 1 species
GGCGUAAAGCGAGUGUAGGUGGCUCAUUAAGUCACAUGUGAAAUCCCCGGGCUUAACCUGGGAACUGCAUGUGAUACUGGUGGUGCUAGAAUAUGUGAGAGGGAAGUAGAAUUCCAGGUGUAGCGGUGAAAUGCGUAGAGAUCUGGAGGAAUACCGAUGGCGAAGGCAGCUUCCUGGCAUAAUAUUGACACUGAGAUUCGAAAGCGUGGGUAGCAAACAGGAUUAGAUACCCUGGUAGUCCACGCCGUAAACGAUGUCUACUAGCCGUUGGGGUCCUUGAGACUUUAGUGGCGCAGUUAACGCGAUAAGUAGACCGCCUGGGGAGUACGGCCGCAAGGUUAAAACUCAAAUGAAUUGACGGGGGCCCCGCACAAGCGGUGGAGCAUGUGGUUUAAUUCGAUGCAACGCGAAGAACCUUACCUGGUCUUGACAUAGUGAGAAUCUCUCAGAGAUGAGAGAGUGCCUUCGGGAACUCACAUACAGGUGCUGCAUGGCUGUCGUCAGCUCGUGUCGUGAGAUGUUGGGUUAAGUCCCGCAACGAGCGCAACCCUUUUCCUUAUUUGCCAGCGGGUUAAGCCGGGAACUUUAAGGAUACUGCCAGUGACAAACUGGAGGAAGGCGGGGACGACGUCAAGUCAUCAUGGCCCUUACGACCAGGGCUACACACGUGCUACAAUGGUAGGUACAGAGGGUUGCUACACAGCGAUGUGAUGCUAAUCUCAAAAAGCCUAUCGUAGUCCGGAUUGGAGUCUGCAACUCGACUCCAUGAAGUCGGAAU